rnacentral:rRNA from 1 species
AUGGCUUCAUCCGGUUCCAUGACGAGGCCACCGUGUGCUAACCAAGAAGACAUGCCGCACAAGUGGAAGGACGCAUUUUUGGACAAGGUGAAGGAGAAAGAUGUGAAGAUUCCGCCAUGUUGGUGUGGAGAUGUUUGCAAGGUGAAGGAGUCCACCAACCGAAAGAAGUCAUGGACGGAAGGAAGGAGAUAUUUUGUUUGCCCCAGCUAUGCUUAUGAUCGUGCGCUUCCAACUAACGCGUAUGACCUUCCACCAGUACUGAAAGAACAUGCGGUGCCCCCAUGUUUGGUUUUGGUAAUUGAUGACAAUCUCUAUGGACUAAUGGUUGCCUUGAGUUAUAUUUGA